UUAUAUUGAAAAAUCAAAGCAAGUUAGAGUUUUCUUUGAGAUAAAAUAUUCGUUUUCCUUUUGUGUGGUUGUUUAAAAGUAUGACUUAGACUCCUUCCAUUUGGGAUAUCCUGUCCGUUACAACAUAAACAAUCUUCUGAUAAGAUCAAACAUUCGGGAGUUAACACUUUGGGAAAUUCAUAGUUUGGGUUUUGUACGAACAACACGAUGCGAAAAUAAAGACACGGAAUGUGUU
rnacentral:lncRNA from 1 species